AAUACAUGCAAGUCGAACGGUAUAGCAAUAUACAGUGGCGACCGGGUGAGUAACACGUAGCAGACCUGCCUUUCCGCGGGGGAUAACAGUCCGAAAGGAUUGCUAAUACCGCAUAAUUUCUGGGGAACUAGAUACCCUUGAAUAAACUUCCGGGGCGGAAAGAGGGUGCUGCGGCCCAUCAGGUAGUUGGUGAGGUAAUGGCUCACCAAGCCGACGACGGGUAGGGGGCCUGAGAGGGUGACCCCCCACACUGGAACAGACAUACGGUCCAGACUCCUACGGGAGGCAGCAGUAAGGGAUAUUGGGCAAUGGACGAAAGUCUGACCCAGCAACGCCGCGUGGAGGACGAAGGAUUUCGGUCUGUAAACUCCUUUUGUCGGGGACGAGAUAGGACGGUACCCGACGAAUCAGUCACGGCUAACUACGUGCCAGCAGCCGCGGUAAAACGUAGGUGGCGAGCGUUAUCCGGAUUUACUGGGCGUAAAGGGUGUGCAGGCGGGCUGUUAAGUGGUGCAUGAAAUCUCCGCGCUUAACGUGGAGAGGCUGUGCCAGACUGGCAGUCUAGAGUACGUGAGAGGGUUGUGGAAUUCCGGGUGUAGUGGUGAAAUGCGUAGAGAUCCGGAGGAACACCAGAGGCGAAGGCGGCAACCUGGCACGUAACUGACGCUCAUACACGACAGCAUGGGGAGCGAACGGGAUUAGAAACCCCGGUAGUCCAUGCC
rnacentral:rRNA from 1 species